UGGGUCAUCAAAUGAUAUUUAAGGGUUUCACUUAAGAAGGAACCCUCAAAACACUUGAGGCUUAAAGUACUACAGUAAUAUAUAAGGUUUAGGAUUUAAAGAUAGCAUGAGUCUACAUAUAUACCUGCAUGCACUAAGGGUUUAAAACACCAUAAAGGGGAUGUAAAAAGUCUCUUAUCUUCCACAAAUAUAGCAGGUUUUCUUCACUAGCUGAGAUUAUGUAUGACUGUAAUAUAAAGUUGCAUCCUAACUCUUGUAGUUUUAGUGGCCAAUAUUACAAAUUGACAAACUAUCAAUUAAACAUUUUGUGAUUAUGAGAUCACCUGACUAAAAACAGAAAAUAACGAUCUUAGCCAGGCGUGGUGGCUUAUGCCUGUAAUUCCAACACUUUCGGAAGCCGAGGCAGGCGGAUCACCUGAGGUCAGGAGUUCAAGACCAGCCUGGCCAACAUGGUGAAACCCUGCCUCUACUAAAAAUACAAAAAUUAGCAGGGCGUGGUGGUGGCGCCUGUGGUCCCAGUGCCCGGGAGGCUGAGGCAGGAGAAUGGCUUGAACCCAGGAGGUGGAGGUUGCAGUGAGCUGAGAUCGUGCCACUGCACUCCAGCCUGGGUGACAGAACAAGACUCCGUCUC